rnacentral:rRNA from 1 species
AUGAGAGUUUGAUCCUGGCUCAGGACGAACGCUGGCGGCGUGCCUAAUACAUGCAAGUCGAACGCUUCUUUCCUCCCGAGUGCUUGCACUCAAUUGGAAAGAGGAGUGGCGGACGGGUGAGUAACACGUGGGUAACCUACCCAUCAGAGGGGGAUAACACUUGGAAACAGGUGCUAAUACCGCAUAACAGUUUAUGCCGCAUGGCAUAAGAGUGAAAGGCGCUUUCGGGUGUCGCUGAUGGAUGGACCCGCGGUGCAUUAGCUAGUUGGUGAGGUAACGGCUCACCAAGGCCACGAUGCAUAGCCGACCUGAGAGGGUGAUCGGCCACACUGGGACUGAGACACGGCCCAGACUCCUACGGGAGGCAGCAGUAGGGAAUCUUCGGCAAUGGACGAAAGUCUGACCGAGCAACGCCGCGUGAGUGAAGAAGGUUUUCGGAUCGUAAAACUCUGUUGUUAGAGAAGAACAAGGACGUUAGUAACUGAACGUCCCCUGACGGUAUCUAACCAGAAAGCCACGGCUAACUACGUGCCAGCAGCCGCGGUAAUACGUAGGUGGCAAGCGUUGUCCGGAUUUAUUGGGCGUAAAGCGAGCGCAGGCGGUUUCUUAAGUCUGAUGUGAAAGCCCCCGGCUCAACCGGGGAGGGUCAUUGGAAACUGG